rnacentral:miRNA from 1 species
AUCACUUACAUUUAACUAUAAUAAGUAUAUAUAUAUAUGUAUGUGUGUGUGUGUGUGUGUGUGUGUGUGUAUAUAUAUAUAUAUACAUAUAAAACCACUACUGGAAUUC